rnacentral:rRNA from 1 species
UUCGGUACAUCGGUGACAGGUGGUGCAUGGUUGUCGUCAGCUCGUGUCGUGAGAUGUUGGGUUAAGUCCCGCAACGAGCGCAACCCCUAUUGUUAGUUGCCAUCAUUCAGUUGGGCACUCUAGCGAGACUGCCGGUAAUAAACCGGAGGAAGGUGGGGAUGACGUCAAAUCAUCAUGCCCCUUAUGACCUGGGCUACACACGUGCUACAAUGGUUGGUACAACGAGUUGCGGGUCGGUGACGGCGAGCUAAUCUCUUAAAGCCAAUCUCAGUUCGGAUUGUAGGCUGCAACUCGCCUACAUGAAGUCGGAAUCGCUAGUAAUCGCGGAUCAGCACGCCGCGGUGAAUACGUUCCCGGGCCUU